rnacentral:rRNA from 1 species
AUGAGCCGCCGGCGCCGUUCCUCGCCGGCGCCCGUCCCCCGGCUGGACGUCGAAGACCUUCUCCAGGACAUCUUUCUCCGCCUCCCUCCACAGCCAUCUUUGCUCCCCCUUCUCUCCCUAGUCUGCAAACACUGGCGCAGCAUCCUCUCCGACCCCGAGUUCCUCAGCCGCUUCCGUAGGCACCACCGGAACCCGCCGCUGCUCGGCUUUUUCGCCGGGGGAAACCACAACCGGAACCACGUCUUCACCCCCGUCCUCGACCCGCCCGACCGCAUCCCCGCCGCGCGCUUCCCGCUGCCAUGGCGCCACAGCCCCUGCGAGGAGUGGAACUUCGUCGACUGCCGCCACGACCUCGCCGUCCUGAUCAACGAGUCACGGCGCGAGAUCGUCGUGUGGGAUCCCCUCACCGACCAGCAACGCGGCGUGGCUUUUCCACGUGGGCUUGACGACGACGACAACGGGAAGAGGUACCGGCACGCCGCCGUGCUCUGCGCCGACCCCGAAGACGGGCAUGUGCACGGCGAUUGCCUCUCUAGCCCAUUGAAAGUGGCCCUGAUAUCCGUCGGACGCUUGCAUGCAUCCGCUUGCCUCUACGAAUUGGAGUCUCGUCGAUGGGGAGACAUUGUCUCGACGACCACUAGAGAUAACAUUUGUUUGGUAAGACCCAGCAUUCUGGUAGGGAACACACUCUGCUGGUUGAUUGGGUGCGUCAUCCUCGAGUUUGAUUUUGAAAGGGAGGUCGUUCGUGCGGUCGAGGCGCCUGCGGAAGUUUGGAUCAGCUAUACCGACUAUUGGUCUCUUCAACUCUUGCGGACCGAGGACGGUAGCCUUAGACUCGCCGUUUUGUCGAAGCACAAGCUGAGCAUUCAAUUAUGGGAGAGGAAAUUGAGCUAUGAUGGUGUUGCUAGUUGGGAGCUACUCCCUCCGUCCGGAAAUACUUGUCAUCAAAAUGAAUAA